rnacentral:rRNA from 1 species
UACGUAGGGGGCAAGCGUUGUCCGGAAUCAUUGGGCGUAAAGCGCGUGUAGGCGGCUUGGUAAGUCCGCUCUGAAAGCCCGGGGCUCAACCCCGGGAGGCGGGUGGAUACUGUCAAGCUCGAGUCCGGAAGAGGCGAGUGGAAUUCCUGGUAUAGCGGUGAAAUGCGCAGAUAUCAGGAGGAACACCAAUGGCGAAGGCAGCUCGCUGGGACGUGACUGACGCUGAGACGCGAAAGCGUGGGGAGCAAACAGG